ACACUGCUGCCAUAGCGGUCUUUGCCAAGACUUGUCCAUGCUGAGGCCCAAUUCCUCCCCUGGCAUAGGGUUCCCUGACUGGGGCUGCUUGUGUAAAGAAUGGAUCAGGCGACAAAGGAUCUCCUGUGAGUCAGAAUUUGGUCAAGAAUUUCAGUGCAUCUUGAUGCUGAUUGAGAAUACCACCUGAAACUGAUCUGAAGUAAUAACAGGCUAGCAACGUAAUCAUCUCUGUGUUGGUCCAUGCUUGAAUGAAUGUACACGGAAUCUUGGGUGCUGCCUCUCCAUUUUCAGCAGCAGAAGACAUCUACAAGAGAAACACACUGCCCUUUGAACUUCAAUGUUACUCUGAAAUACAAUAUAUUAAUAAUAUUGCUAACCAAAGGAUCUAUUUUAGUUAAGUAUGUUUUUGUUAUUGCUAUUGCUGUUGUUCCUAAGGAAGACAGAAACAUUUCAGAAUACUAAAAAAGAAAUCUGCAUUCCUUAAUCUUUCAAAAAUAAAUCUAAAACAUUUUCGUA
rnacentral:lncRNA from 10 species